rnacentral:rRNA from 1 species
GAUGAACGCUGGCGGCGUGCCUAAUACAUGCAAGUCGAGCGAACAGACGAGGAGCUUGCUCCUCUGACGUUAGCGGCGGACGGGUGAGUAACACGUGGAUAACCUACCUAUAAGACUGGGAUAACUUCGGGAAACCGGAGCUAAUACCGGAUAAUAUAUUGAACCGCAUGGUUCAAUAGUGAAAGACGGUUUUGCUGUCACUUAUAGAUGGAUCCGCGCCGCAUUAGCUAGUUGGUAAGGUAACGGCUUACCAAGGCAACGAUGCGUAGCCGACCUGAGAGGGUGAUCGGCCACACUGGAACUGAGACACGGUCCAGACUCCUACGGGAGGCAGCAGUAGGGAAUCUUCCGCAAUGGGCGAAAGCCUGACGGAGCAACGCCGCGCGAGUGAUGAAGGUCUUCGGAUCGUAAAACUCUGUUAUUAGGGAAGAACAAAUGUGUAAGUAACUAUGCACGUCUUGACGGUACCUAAUCAGAAAGCCACGGCCAACUACGUG